UUUUUUUUUUUUUUUUUGUGGAAGAAUCAUAAAUUUCACAAAAAUAAUGUCUCAAUCGCAUACGUAUUGUCUGCUCUGACUUGGCUUGUCUUCUGUAUGUGAUCCAAAUAGACGAGAAUGUCAAUCCAUCAUGUACGACCAAUCACACUUCCUAUAGCUGAAACCGAGUGCAAAUGCUUUUGUAGCAAUCAUGAUCUGUGCCUUUCCAAGUUAGGGGUUCCAAGACUCGUCAAAGUGAAUUUUUCAUUCUUCUUCAUUUAAAUCUCUCGUGUAAAUGGUUAUCAAGAUGUGAUGAGAGAACAAGUCAGGGUGGUCGAAAAGGAUGCUUAAUUAAUGUACGGUGAACGUUUCAUGUUUAUUCAUUGAAUCACCUUUCCAAAGUCUAUUAUUUUGUUUUGAUCAACAUUCGAAAAUUCAAGGGAAAGCUUAAAUCUCUUCUAAGAAUGCAUGCAGAAACAAGAAAAAUGGUUUCCCGCCCAGUAGAUGCUUCUGUGAAUACACAAAAGUUUUGUAUGAAAGGNUAAAGCGGNUGUUUGGCACUGCAUGUAACUACCAAGGAAAAAGUAAUGCUAAGCAAAUUUAAUGAUGCAUAUAUAAUUGGGACAAUUGCNACAUUUUGCAAUGUUUUUGCCAAAGCGAAAUUGUAUCUUUCCGNUUGCGNAUAAAGGAAUGUGNCCUCGNCCAAAUUAUCAUCCAUNCCNAGCUGAANNAAAUACUGNCNAAAGAUUUCAAAAAAUACCGUGGAANCCUUUGGCUUUAUUAAACGAUGNUACUCCNAUAAAAAGAAAAUUCUUUUUUGGGCAUAACANGUUCUNCAANUUCCAAUNCCAAGUACCUGGGNGNANCNNAUGGUUGNAAUUAAUAAAAUCUNAAAAG
rnacentral:sRNA from 1 species